UACGUAGGGUCCGAGCGUUGUCCGGAAUUAUUGGGCGUAAAGAGCUCGUAGGCGGUUUGUCGCGUCUGCCGUGAAAGUCCGGGGCUCAACUCCGGAUCUGCGGUGGGUACGGGCAGACUAGAGUGAUGUAGGGGAGACUGGAAUUCCUGGUGUAGCGGUGAAAUGCGCAGAUAUCAGGAGGAACACCGAUGGCGAAGGCAGGUCUCUGGGCAUUAACUGGCGCUGAGGAGCGAAAGCAUGGGGAGCGAACAGG
rnacentral:rRNA from 1 species